AGUGAACGCUGGCGGUAGGCCUAACACAUGCAAGUCGAACGGCAGCACAGUAAGAGCUUGCUCUUACGGGUGGCGAGUGGCGGACGGGUGAGGAAUACAUCGGAAUCUACUUUUUCGUGGGGGAUAACGUAGGGAUACUUACGCUAAUACCGCAUACGACCUACGGGUGAAAGCAGUGGAUCUUCGGACCUUGCGCGAUUGAAUGAGCCGAUGUCGGAUUAGCUAGUUGGCGGGGUAAAGGCCCACCAAGGCGACGAUCCGUAGCUGGUCUGAGAGGAUGAUCAGCCACACUGGAACUGAGACACGGUCCAGACUCCUACGGAAGGCAGCAGUGGGGAAUAUUGGACAAUGGGCGCAAGCCUGAUCCAGCCAUACCGCGUGGGUGAAGAAGGCCUUCGGGUUGUAAAGCCCUUUUGUUGGGAAAGAAAAGCAGCAGGUUAAUACCCCGCUGUUCUGACGGUACCCAAAGAAUAAGCACCGGCUAACUUCGUG
rnacentral:rRNA from 1 species